ACAACAACCACCCCCCACUUCCCACUACGUGCCCCCUUAUCCACACAACAGAUUACUUCUUCUCCAUCCACCUGACGCUGUCCCUUCUCUUCUUCUCUAUCAGCAACAUCAACCCCCUCUUCUCUGUCGGUGCGGAACUCCACGAGAGGAUGUAUUGCGUUUUGGAGCUCAGUUGCGGCCCCAUGCUCCGGAUCUGGCCACAGCAGGCCUCGCCCCGACCAACAGGCUCGGAUCCAUCCCUUCCCUCCUCCUGUCCUCCACAUGCCAUCGUAGGGACUGUGGCGCCAGAUCAAGCUCUCGUACACAUAUAAAUUGGUGAGAAUAUAUGUAUAUCAGCGAGGUGGGACAAUUUAAUUGAAGUGCAGUUGCAAAGCUCGUUGUAUCUGAAUUUAGCCACCUAAAAAGGACAGCGGGUUGAAUACUCAAAAGCAUAGGGUCUUUUCUGUAAGAACGAAACGUUUUCUUCGAGAGCCACUUAAAAUAGGACUGCGGGUUGAAUACCUGAAACAGUAGGGACUUUUGUACAUGCCCUUACAAUGUUUUUGGAUGAGCGCACCCAUUAUAA